rnacentral:rRNA from 1 species
AUUGAACGCUGGCGGCAGGCCUAACACAUGCAAGUCGAACGAGUGGCGGACGGGUGAGUAAUGUCUGGGAAACUGCCCGAUGGAGGGGGAUAACUACUGGAAACGGUAGCUAAUACCGCAUACCAUCGGAUGUGCCCAGAUGGGAUUAGCUAGUAGGUGGGGUAACGGCUCACCUAGGCGACGAUCCCUAGCUGGUCUGAGAGGCUGACCAGCCACACUGGAACUGAGACACGGUCCAGACUCCUACGGGAGGCAGCAGUGGGGAAUAUUGCACAAUGGGCGCAAGCCUGAUGCAGCCAUGCCGCGUGUAUGAUGAAGGCCUUCGGGUUGUAAAGUACUUUCAGCGGGGAGGCGUUACCCGCAGAAGAAGCACCGGCUAACUACGUGCCAGCAGCCGCGGUAAUUC